GGCAUCAUAGCUUAGCUGGCUAAAGCACCUGCCUCGUAAGCAGGAGAUCCUGGGUUCGACUCCCAGUGGUGCCU